ACGGAAGGCAGCAGUGAGGAAUAUUGGACAAUGGUCGGAAGACUGAUCCAGCCAUGCCGCGUGAAGGAAGAAGGUCCUAUGGAUUGUAAACUUCUUUUGUACGGGAGCAAUAAGGCGUAUGCAUACGCCGAUGAGAGUACCGUACGAAUAAGCAUCGGCUAACUCCGUGCCAGCAGCCGCGGUAAUACGGAGGAUCCGAGCGUUAUCCGGAUUUAUUGGGUUUAAAGGGUGCGCAGGCGGCUUUUUAAGUCAGUGGUUAAAUCGUGACGCUCAACGUCAUCACGCCAUUGAUACUGGAGAGCUUGAUUGCGGUCGAGGUUUGCGGAAUUCGUUGUGUAGCGGUGAAAUGCAUAGAUAUGACGAAGAACACCGAUUGCGUAGGCAGCAGACCAGGCCGUAAAUGACGCUCAUGCACGAAAGUGCGGGGAUCGAACAGGAUUAGAUACCCUGGUA
rnacentral:rRNA from 1 species